rnacentral:rRNA from 1 species
CCUACGGGAGGCAGCAGUGAGGAAUAUUGGUCAAUGGACGGAAGUCUGAACCAGCCAUGCCGCGUGCAGGAAGACGGCUCUAUGAGUUGUAAACUGCUUUUGUACAAGGGUAAACCUGAAUACGUGUAUUCAGCUGAAAGUACUGUACGAAUAAGGAUCGGCUAACUCCGUGCCAGCAGCCGCGGUAAUACAGAGGAUGCAAGCGUUAUCCGGGUUUAUUUGGUUUAAAGGGUGCGUAGGGGGAUUGAUAAGUUAGAGGUGAAAUGUCCGAGCUUAAAUCGGGAAAUGCCCCUAAUACUGUUGAUCUAGAGAGUAGAUGCGGUAGGCGGAAUGUAUGGGGUAGCGGUGAAAUGCUUAGAGAUCAUACAGAACACCGAUUGCGAAGGCAGCUUACCAAUCUAUAUCUGACGUUGAGGCACGAAAGCGUGGGGAGCAAACAGGAUUAGAUACCCUUGUAGUUC